ensembl:lncRNA
AGAUUACUGAGAAGGGCCACUGUACUGCAAAAUUCCAGGGCGCCAUUACAGAAGAUGCAUGUUAAAGGAUGUUCCUUCUCUUUGUUGUCUACAAUUUUACCCCUAAAGUUGUGCAUUUUACAACCUGUAUGGCCAUAUGAGACAAUCCUAUUUGGUGGUGCUAUAUUCAUCAUUGCACUGGAUACCAGCUCCACCUGAUAGAAGAGAAAAGUUUUCCACUUUUAAGGAUUUGUGUGGUUAUAUUGGGCUCACCUGGAUAAUCCAAGAUCUUAUUUGCCUGUCAGUCUGAUUAUAUCCUUUAUAAGACAUUGAAUCAAAAGAACAAUUCUAAAGUAAUAGCUUAUACAAGGGAAAAGUAUCCAGAAGAAGAGAUGGAAGAUUCUGCCACUUUAAAAAUGAAACAAAAAGCAAUAAAAUUAAAAUCUAGAAACAGAUCACUAAUAUUCAAUAUUUAUUUCUAAUUAAUAACCAUUGUUCUGUUCUUGUUAAGUUCUAUUCUUCUCAACCCAGUUAGUGCCCAUAUAGUAAUAUGUGUAUAAACAUUAUACUGUGGAGUCAUUUCAAUUUUUUUUGGUACAAGUAUUAGGAGAAUUUAAGUUUUAAAAAAUGGAGUUUUAUUUCAAUUAAUAGAAUCAUUGCAUUAAUAAAGGAGGC